GCAUGAUAGUAGAAUGUAUUUAUGCACUUUGAUGUAUCAUAUAUAAAUGGGGUAUGAUUUCUCAUUUUUCUGAUUGUGCAUGUUGUAGAAUCAAUGGGUCAUGCAGUCAUAUAUGUACACAAGGUAAUAAUGUCUGUUUCAUUUUAUUAUCCUUCCUAUCCCCAGACCCUCUUAUCCCCUUCAUUCCCGUCUACCUAAUCUAAAGUAACUCUAUUCUUCCUUAGUGCCCCCACAUUGUGAAUUAGCAUUCACAUAUUAGAGAAAACAUUCAGCCUUUGUUUUUUGGGGAUUGACUUAUUUCACUUAGCAGAUUUAUCCAUUUACCAGCAUAUGCCAUAAUUUCACUCUUCUUUAAAGCUGAGUAAUAUUCCAUUGAAUGUAUAUAUCGAAUUUUUUUUAUCCAUUGAUCUAUUGAAGGGCACCUAGGUUGGUUCCAUAGUUUAGGUAUUGUGAAUUGAGCUGCUACAAACAUUGACAUGGCCCUCAUUGUAGUAUUCUGAUUUUAAGUCCUUUGGGUAUAAACCAAGGACUGAGAGAGCAGGGUCAAAUGGUGGUUCUAUUCCAAGUUUUCUGAGGAAUCUCCACACCACUUUCCAUAAUGGUUGCACCAAUUUGCAGUCCCACCAGCAAUGUAUGAGUGUACAUUUUUUCCCCACAUCCUUGCCAACAUUUAUUGUUGCCAUUCUGACUGGGGUGAGAUAAAAUCUUAGAGUAGUUUAAAUUUGCAUUUCUCUAAUUGCUAGACAUGAUGAACAUUUUUUUCAUAUAUUUGUUGUUUGAUUAUAUAUAUCCUCUUCUGAUAAGUGUCUGUUCAGGUCCUUGCCCCAUUUAUUGAUUGGGCUAUUUGUUUUUUUGGUGCUUAGCUUUUUGAGUUCUUUAUAUAUCCUGGGGAAUAAUGCUGUAUUUGA
rnacentral:lncRNA from 1 species